rnacentral:rRNA from 1 species
UACAGAGGGUGCGAGCGUUAAUCGGAAUUACUGGGCGUAAAGCGUGCGCAGGCGGCUUUGCAAGACAGAUGUGAAAUCCCCGGGCUUAACCUGGGAACUGCAUUUGUGACUGCAUGGCUGGAGUGCGGCAGAGGGGGGAUGGAAUUCCGCGUGUAGCAGUGAAAUGCGUAGAUAUGCGGAGGAACACCGAUGGCGAAGGCAAUCCCCUGGGCCUGCACUGACGCUCAUGCACGAAAGCGUGGGGAGCAAACAGG